GACGUAUUACGUAUAUAUGAUGUCUUUUGUAAAGAUUAUUAUCAAGGUUAAGGAUUUAGGUUUAAAUAUUUUUUUUAGGAUAUCUAUACAUUAAUUUUUAAUCUUCUAUAAUUCUUUCUUUUCGUUUUCUUUUUAUUUCUCCAUUCAAUUGUAUUUUUAUUCUAAAAUAAUUUUUAGUAUAUAUUUUUUCAUAUUAUUAACCAAUCAAAUAUAAAUAAUUUUUUAUAUUUUAUUUUUUUAUUUAAUUUAUAAAAUUUUACUAUAAUUUUUAUCCG
rnacentral:lncRNA from 1 species